GGAAGGAUCAUUACCGAGUUUUCGAGCUUCGGCUCGACUCUCCCACCCUUUGUGAACGUACCUCUGUUGCUUUGGCGGCUCCGGCCGCCAAAGGACCUUCAAACUCCAGUCAGUAAACGCAGACGUCUGAUAAACAAGUUAAUAAACUAAAACUUUCAACAACGGAUCUCUUGGUUCUGGCAUCGAUGAAGAACGCAGCGAAAUGCGAUAAGUAAUGUGAAUUGCAGAAUUCAGUGAAUCAUCGAAUCUUUGAACGCACAUUGCGCCCCUUGGUAUUCCGAGGGGCAUGCCUGUUCGAGCGUCAUUACAACCCUCAAGCUCUGCUUGGUAUUGGGCUCCGUCCUCACUGCGGACGCGCCUCAAAGACCUCGGCGGUGGCUGUUCAGCCCUCAAGGGUAGUAGAAUACACCUCGCUUUGGAGCGGUUGGCGUCGCCCGCCGGACGAACCUUCUGAACUUUUCUCAAGGUUGACCUCGGAU
rnacentral:rRNA from 1 species